rnacentral:tRNA from 1 species
GGAAGCGUGGCCGAGCGGUUUAAGGCAACGGUCUUGAAAACCGUCGAUGGGUAACUAUCCGUGAGUUCGAAUCUCACCGCUUCCGCCA